rnacentral:rRNA from 1 species
GACGAACGCUGGCGGCGUGCUUAACACAUGCAAGUCGAACGGUAAGGCCCUUCGGGGUACACGAGUGGCGAACGGGUGAGUAACACGUGGGUGAUCUGCCCUGCACUUCGGGAUAAGCCUGGGAAACUGGGUCUCAUACCGGAUAGGACCACUGCCUGCAUGGGUGGUGGUGGAAAGCUUUUGCGGUGGGGGAUGGGCCCACGGCCUAUCAGACUGUUGGUGGGGUGAUGGCCUACCAAGGCGACGACGGGUAGCCGGCCUGAGAGGGUGACCGGCCACACUGGGACUGAGAUACGGCCCAGACUGCUACGGGAGGCAGCAGUUGGGAAUAUUGCGCAAUGGGCGCAAGCCUGAUGCAGCGACGCCGCGUGAGGGAUGACGGCCUUCGGGUUGUAAACCUCUUUCAGCACCGACGAAGCGCAAGUGACGGUAGGUGCAGAAGAAGGACCGGCCAACUACGUGCCAGCCGCCGCUGUAA